rnacentral:rRNA from 1 species
ACCAGACUCCUACGGGAGGCAGCAGUGGGGAAUAUUGCACAAUGGGCGAAAGCCUGAUGCAGCAACGCCGCGUGAAGGAAGAAGGGUUUCGGCUCGUAAACUUCUAUCAACAGGGACGAAAGAAAUGACGGUACCUGAAUAAGAAGCCCCGGCUAACUACGUGCCAGCAGCCGCGGUAAUACGUAGGGGGCAAGCGUUAUCCGGAUUUACUGGGUGUAAAGGGAGCGUAGACGGCCAGACAAGUCUGAAGUGAAAAUCCAGCGCUGAACGUUGGAAGUGCUUUGGAAACUGCCGGGCUGGAGUGCAGGAGGGGCAGGCGGAAUUCCUAGUGUAGCGGUGAAAUGCGUAGAUAUUAGGAGGAACACCAGUGGCGAAGGCGGCUUACUGGACAGUAACUGACGUUGAGGCUCGAAAGCGUGGGGAGCAAACAGGAUUAGAUCCCCCAGUA